GAAUUUAAAACCAGGUACUACGAAUGCUCACCUGAUUUUUGGUUCUUAUGCAGGUAUUUUUUCUGUGUAGAUGGUUGGUAACUUGGUGUCCUUGCAUGGGGGGUGCACAGUUGGUUGAACUUUCUAUUCUGCCAUCUAGCUCUGCCUCUCCUUCCUGACUACCAUUUUGACUAGGAGAAAUAGAAUCAUACAAAUAAGAUGGGUAUGAAGAAGAGAAGGGAGAGAAAGUAAGGAGAGGACAGCAAAUAAAUACAAAAUUACAGCUAGAAGGUCUACAGUGUGAUUGAUUUCAUUUCACAUUAUUUAUUUACUUUUCAGAUGACACAAUCACCAAGCAAAGGCUGAAACCAUGUGUGUUUCUUUCAAUCACCAAGCAAAGGCUGAAACCAUGUGUGUUUCUAUGUUUCCAGCUGAAUUAUUAAUCUCUCUGUUAAGUUUAAUUCCUGACUCUCAAUUUAAUUCUAUUUUAGUAUCUGAUGCCCCUAUUAGCCUCA
rnacentral:lncRNA from 10 species